AACGAACGCUGGCGGCAUGCCUAAUACAUGCAAGUCGAACGAUCACUUCGGUGGUAGUGGCGCACGGGUGUGUAACGCGUGGGAAUCUGCCCUUGGGUUCGGAAUAACGUCGGGGAACUGACACUAAUACCGGAUGAUGACGUAAGUCCAAAGAUUUAUCGCCCAGGGAUGAGCCCGCGUAGGAUUAGCUAGUUGGUGGGGUAAAGGCCUACCAAGGCGACGAUCCUUAGCUGGUCUGAGAGGAUGAUCAGCCACACUGGGAGUGAGACACGGCCCAGACUCCUACGGGAGGCAGCAGUAGGGAAUAUUGGACAAUGGGGGCAACCCUGAUCCAGCAAUGCCGCGUGAGUGAUGAAGGCCUUAGGGUUGUAAAGCUCUUUUACCCGGGAUGAUAAUGACAGUACCGGGAGAAUAAGCCCCGGCUAACUCCGUGCCAGCAGCCGCCGUAA
rnacentral:rRNA from 1 species